GCGUAACGGGACUUCCACACCGAUCAUGCGGCACCGGCACGCGCGCGGACCUACCUGCUUCAGGCGGUUGUGGAUCAUGGUUUGGAAGACCUGAGCCACCACCAAGGCGAUGCCCACGAUGAGGAGAGCGGGUUUGGCUCCAGCGCUGCAAUGUGAGGAUCUGUAACCUGGAGCAGGAAGGAGGAGCAACAAGGGAGCGUCCAGAAACCAGGCAGGAGGGCAGGCCGCUGUGCACGCUCUGAAGGUGUGAUGUUUGAUGGUGGCUCUGACUCAGUCAGAUGUUUGGUGCGCUCCUACGUCAUUUCUGUCAUCUGAUCAGAAAUCUGAAAAGAGAGUGAACAAUUGAAAAUGGAGAUCCUCCGUUCCUGAAACCAGAACAGUUGUAAUCCUGAUAAAGAACGAGGGAGCGGCUCAGAGGAAAUGAAGCAGCAGAUUGAUCAAAGUGCAGACUCCAGAUUUAUGAGAGGGAGUUCUCCUGCAGGGAUCAGAUAUCCUCCAGCUUCCAGAGGCAGAGCGGGGUUUACCCCGACGUCACCGACCCCCCCCAUGAAUGAGCUGCAGAUCCACUCAGUCAUCCUCCUGUUGUAAACAAGCGAACAUGUGAUCUGGUCAGCCUGACGCUCACAGCGACGUGGACGAGAAACACAACUCCUGUCUGAACGGAUCUUCGUAAAGGGUUGUUGGGAGUCUCCAGAUGAAACACUCGAGUCUGAAACCGUCUUCAGAUGGUUUUUAGGUGCAGCAUCUCCAUAUUGUUCUGAUCUGGGAGCACAUCAGUGUCUUGGAGACAUUAAAGUGAGCCAACCUUGAAUUAAGUCACAUGAUUGCAACCAGCCAAUCCCGCGUCAGCUGGAAGGAAGAAAAUUUCCCGUUGAGUCACUGUGUUAAUUGUAAGUGUUGAGCAAACAGGACUGCAGGGAUUUCUAUUUUUGAGAAUGACUUCUGUUUUUGUGGAACUCUCCUCCAGUUUGGAGUGAUGCAUCACAAAAACACAAAACCUCAUCGAGGAUCUUUGUCUAGUUUCUGUUAAUAUUUGAUUACAUGUUAAAUAUGACGAAAACUUGUGAGUACCUUUUCAGUAAAAUGUAAUGAAAAUAUAUAAUUCUAA